GGGAGUGAUAGCACCUGAAACCAGGUACUUACAAGCUGUGGGAGCAGAUUUUUAGUGGGAGUGCAUACUUUUUGUAGCACGAGCCAACGAGAUAAGUUAAUUAGCACGGUUAAGCACUUAAUGUGUAAAGGCGUAGCGACAGAGAGUUUUAACUGAGAGUUCAGUUACUUGACGUAGACCCGAAACCGGGCGACCUACCCAUGAGCAGGAUGAAGCGAAAGUAAAAUUUCGUGG
rnacentral:rRNA from 1 species